GGAGAGAAAGGAAUAAAAAUAGAGAUGGUCUAUGAGAUUAUCCAUGUAUCAGGUGCAAGGAUAAAAUCGGGAGCAUAAAUUACGAAAAGUGGGACGUUCUCGUAGAUACGAACGGGUAUUAAAAAUAGCAUAUUAGCCAUUUCCCUUUCACGUAUUUACAAAAUGCUUCGCUUUAAUCAUAUAAUAUUUUAUUGUAUUGACUAAGGUGUAAUAUGAGCAAAGGGAAAGGACUAAUCCACAAUAUUCCCACAAUCCCAUCGUAACCACCCAAUAUCUCCACGAUUCCAUCAUAACCAUCCAUUAUUUCACAAUCCCAUCGUGACCAUACAAAAUCUCUCCCACAAUCCUGGAUUCUCAUCGCACGUUUCCCUCAAAUCGGUUACAACCACCCACAUCCCACGACCCCAUCCCACGAUCCCGUAACCUCCUCACCCAUACGCACGUUUUCCUCAACCACCCUNGGUAAUUAACAAUAGACGCUUGCGUUUAUUGGAAGCCAUGGAUCCGCAAUACCUGAUAAUCAUACAUACACAUACUUUAAUCUACAUCAUGAAUACUACCCCACGGUGGAAAAUCAAAAUAAGAUUAACCGUGCGAGGUAUGUC
rnacentral:lncRNA from 1 species